rnacentral:rRNA from 1 species
GAUGAACGCUGGCGGCGUGCCUAACACAUGCAAGUCGAACGAGGCAAAUAAGUUGAAGUUUUCGGAUGGAUCUUAUUUACCGAGUGGCGGACGGGUGAGUAACGCGUGGGUAACCUGCCUCAUACAGGGGGGAUAACGGUUAGAAAUGACUGCUAAUACCGCAUAAGCGCACAGUACCGCAUGGUACGGUGUGAAAAACUCCGGUGGUAUGAGAUGGACCCGCGUCUGAUUAGCUAGUUGGUGAGGUAACGGCUUACCAAGGCAACGAUGCGUAGCCGACCUGAGAGGGUGAUCGGCCACACUGGAACUGAGACACGGUCCAG